UCUACUGGCUAAAAGCAGAUCCUUCCAAUGUAUUUGACUAUGUUGCCCCCUACGGAUCCAGCUUAGAGACUCUCUGGCCUAGUUUCCAAAGAACGAUACUGGUUCACAUUUGUCAGAAGAUAUCAGAGCACAGAAGUGACUCCAAUCCUCGAAGUCCACUUCCAAGGACUGAGAAAUCUUGAGAACCUUGGAAAAGUGUAAGCCAGUACUGACAAUUAGAAGGAUUGGAUUCGUGCAAUGGCAAAAUUGCUGCCUUCACAUGAUAUCCUGGAUUGCAGCGAAUGGAGGGUAUAAAUUGUCUGAUGCUGUGGAUGAAAUUGGCUAUUGCAUGAGAUUUUAGUUCUCAUUCGUCGGCUCCAUUCUCCCAGGUCACACAGCCUCUGGAGUGUGGGUGUGGGAGGUUACUGUCCCGAAGGUCGGGACAACUACAACUGGUGCCCAACGUGGGGCUCGACUGUUCCCAGGAGAGGAGAACUUCAGUGUUCAUUAGAGAGACAAGCUUGUCCAUGCUCUAAGGCACCAGAGACACAGUCGAUUUUGGACCUUGAGGGGAAGACACCCAGCAGCCUUACCCAGAGCUCGGGAUCUUCGGGUUCAUGAACACCACCUGAGGCAGAGGUGAAUAAUACAACAAAAUAUUUUUUUUUUUUUGA
rnacentral:lncRNA from 1 species